GGCAGGACCAGAGCCCCCCCCCCGAGCCCGCUCCCCCGCUUCACGCCUGCAAACGCCUGCAGCGAGCGCUGCACGGACUUGUGCCGCAGCAGCGCCCUUUGGCACGCACGUGGCUCUCCCUGGGGAGCGUGCUGCGCAAAAUUAAGUGCAGUGCUUAAUGAACUUACGGAGAGCGUUUAUCAGGGCAGCGGUUCGGGCAGGACAGCUUCGUGGCUUUAAAACCACGUGGGCUUAAAACUGUGCGGGGCGCUGCGGAGGAGCGAGCUGCAAGGGGAGGCAAAUAAAAUGCUCCUUCGUUUUCAGGCGGAGGGGGGUGGUAGCUCUAAUUAGCACUAAUAGGACUAAUGGCUGGGGCCUGUGCAUGCUGUAUCGGGUGCAGAUGUUUGUCCUCCUCACCGCGUCCUGGCCCUGCUCUGUGCUGCUGCGGUGAAGUCCAGGCAGGCGCCGGCUGGGAUUCUGGUCACAGACACGAGCUGGCGGCGUGUAUCUGCUGUGAAUUUAUUUCAAACUCAAGUUAAAGUGCUCUCGGUGCUUUGGAUGCAAAUUUUCCUUCCUUGAAAUGGGAACUGCAGGCCGCGCGCUGAGUGCUGAUCAAAGGCGCUAGCUAGAGCCCACGUCCAGGAGUACCUGUUGAGAGGAUAAGACUUCGGCGCACCUCCGAGAUGAAACCACGAGGCAACAGAAGUGCUGGGGCUGAGUUGGUGGAGGCGCUUCCACGGGCUGCGGGAUUCCUGCGGGUCCGUGUGGCUCUCGUCUGCUCCAGCAGGGGGUGUAGGCACAGAAACAAGUCGGGGCUGACGUGUUGGAGCACAUCGCCCGCUUCCCAGGAACCACACGCUCGCCUUCGGCUCCCCAGCGUGGUUUGUGUCGUUCCCAGUGCCAGCAGACUGCACCCAAACGGCACCGGACUUGCCUGGGCCGUGCUCUCGCUGAUGCCUCCCAACUUAUUCGCCUGCUGGAAGCUGCUGCUGAGGUCCCUGUGUUUCCACGCUGGACACGCUUCGGGGCUCGCCGCGAGCCGCAGCAACUGUUGUUGUUGGCGCCGAGGGAUCUGCUUGCUCUCUUUGCAAUCAGAGCAACCCGGCCGUCUGCUGGCUCAUAAGAGCCAGGAAAUGGAAGUGUCGAGAUGUGCGGGUUUUGCUGCUAGGAGAGACCAUUAUGCUCAUCAUGCCGCAGCCUCCCACGGAGCGCUGGCUGGUUCAUCUCCUUCUGCGUGCUGA
rnacentral:lncRNA from 1 species